rnacentral:tRNA from 2 species
GGGGCUAAAAGGCUUGCAUAGAGCCACUUUGGGGUAGUGGAGGUCGUGGGUUCGAAUCCCGCCGCUCCG